rnacentral:pre_miRNA from 1 species
UGGUGUGGGGUUUGGAUCUCAGUUAAAAUCUCACUGGAGACCAUACUGCACAGCCUUC